GGAGUGCUGACACAUGACAAAUGUUGUAUACCACCUACAUAUUAUUUGUGUAGUAAACUUGCGACGCUGAUGUGUCUCCUAUGUGUUACUAAAUAACGACUUGAAAUUAUAUUUAUUAAUGGAGAAAAAUUUAGGUUAAAUCAACGAGAAAAAAUGUGGGACCAAAUCGAAUUUAAGCUUUUUUAUUUUCUGUAAUCCAAACUAAAGGUUGUGAAAAUUGGAUUCAAAUUUCAAUUCAAUUCUAAAAAGUAUAAAUUUAGGGUAAUUUCAUGCUUAAUCCUUAAAUUUUAUUAUUAUUACUAUUUGGAUCUCUAUAUUAUCUUAGCUGGGCAAUGGACAUGGCUAACA
rnacentral:misc_RNA from 1 species